GCCUGGGUGGCUCAAUCGGUUAAGCAUCUGACUUCAGCUCAGGUCAUGAUCUUGUGGUUUGUGAGUUCCAGCCCCACAUCAGGCU
rnacentral:tRNA from 1 species